CAUCCGUGACGGUUUUGUGUUUUGUUGCUUAUUUGUGUCAUGAAACUCGUUGUAAUUUUUUAUUUAAAGGCAGUUUUGUGGCGCCUGAAACAGGUUUUCAACGCUAGAUGUCGCUGUAGCCACAUUUAUGACACCGUCUGCAAACACCGUUGUUUGCUGGUUGUUGGGAUUUUCCACUCAACUUUUCUAACGUAUUUUAUCUUAUCACGAAAGGUAAGAAAUUGAAAGUUAAGAUGAACGUUGUCAUUUCGGAAAUAACACCCCGAAUGUUGCCUAAAACAAGAAUGAGCAGACUUAAUGUCACCAUGGCAACAGAGAGCCCCCGUUUCUACUUAUUAUAACAUGCUUUUAGGGCAGAAUUCGGCAGGUAAGUGCAAAAGGCAGGAGCUGAGCCUCCUUCCCAAAUCACUGAACCCUCACCUGCAGAAGUCCGCAAAUAUCACAAAGCAGCUCAUCUAGUCGCCAGACGGUAGUUCUGCGGUCAAACAUUGAGUCAAACACCGUCGUUAUCCUAUUUCUUCCUGACCGUGGAGCGUGUCCGGCGCCUGCCUACGUCACACAGCUGCCGGUAUAAAAGCGCUCCGUCCGGAGCAGCCCCAUCAUUAGAGAGAGGCAGCGUCCGCGGCAGGCUCCUCCAUCCGGCCUCAUUGUCACCAAGAAGCGGAACGGCAGCAGGGAAAAUGUCAAAAAUGACCAUCGUUCAUUUCGGAGUGGUUGUAUUCGCUGUGUGUUUAUCAAUACAGGUGGUCUCCGUGAACAGCGCGAACGCCACGGCGACCAACUCCAACAGCACCACCGCGGCUCCAGGCGCCUACAGCAGCUCAGCCAACGCCACCGCCCCCGCCGGGGCCGGGGUGGCGCUGCACGCGGGCACCUGCUCCCUCCUGGUCCCCGUCGUAAUGGCCGCCGCGCUCCUGCAGAGCUACUGCUGAGGCCUGGACCCCAGCCCACCCCUACACCGCCCCCUCUUCUGCUAUCCCAUCAUACCACACAGUCCACCCUCAUUCCUCUCUCACGGAGACCACGAGACUAACGCGGAUGGACGCCGAGACCGUCUUCGUUCCCCCUAAAAAAAAUAAAACAUGUAGUUCAAGACAUUUAUUUAAUAAAGGGGGGUUCAGCUGGAUAUUAUCACCCCUCCCUCCCACUCCCCUCUUCAGUCCCUUGCAUGGAAUCAAGAGGAUGGUGGUGCAGCCAGCUCCCCUUUUGGUUUGCGUUUCCAUAGUCACGCCAUCACAUUCGGGAGAUGCUCAGGGCUGCAGUCUCGAUCGAAACGCGGACCACAUGCGUGUACAGAGGCUCUGUCUGUGUUCAGUUCCAUGAAAUGUGGCACAAACAGAAGGAGAUUGAAAAUAUAAAAAAAAAAAGUGUGAGCCAGGUAGCAGCUUUAGUCGGGUGUUUUCUAAUUUGGCUCCUCGGUCUUUUUACUCCAAAAGUCAAAGAGACGCGCGUCAGUUUUCCCUUGUGGCUUUUAAAGAUCUGUGGUCUUUUUUCUUGAGGGUUUAAUUGACACUUUAUCCCCUUCAUCCGAGGAUGAAACGCUGGAAAUGUAUGCAUGACCUCAUGGCGGAGGUUGAUGUUAGAUUUAUAUUCCCCACGUAAUAGUUUAUAUUUUGUAUAAAUGGAAAUGUUGUAUUGUUUAUUAGUUUGGGUAUAAGAUAAUGGAAGAAAUGAUGAUGUACAAUAAAAUAAAAUGACACAAAACACUGUA